GGUCUGAUCGUAUAACGGUUAGUACACAAGAUUCUGAGGUUGUCUUCGUUCUUGUAAUCUGGGUUCGAUUCCCAGUCGGACCU
rnacentral:tRNA from 2 species